GGGUGCGAACAUACCAGCACUAAUGCAGCGGAUCCCAUCAGAACUCCGCAGUUAAGCGUGCUUGGGCGAGAGUAGUACUAGGAUGGGUGACCUCCUGGGAAGUCCUCGUGUUGCACCCC
rfam:Gossypium arboreum cultivar AKA8401 contig_97525_1, whole genome shotgun sequence.